AGGACAAAGAGUGAGGGAAGGUGGUGCAGGACAAGAGAGAGGGAAGGUGGUGCAGGACAAAGAGAGAGGGAAGGAGGUGCAGGACAAAAGAGAGAGGGAAGGAGGUGCAGGACAAAGAGUGAGGGAAGGAGGUGCAGGACAAAGCGAGAGGGAAGGAGGUGCAGGACAAAGCGAGAGGGAAGGAGGUGCAGGACAAAGCGAGAGGGAAGGAGGUGCAGGACAAAGAGUGAGGGAAAGUGGUGCAGGACAAGGAGAGAGGGAAGGUGGUGCAGGACAAAGAGAGAGGGAAGGAGGUGCAGGACAAAGAGAGAGAGAGGGAAGGUGGUGCAGGACAAAGAGAGAGGGAAGGUGGUUCAGGACAAAGAGUGAGGGAAGGUGGUGCAGGACAAAGAGAGAGAGAGGGAAGGAGGUGCAGGACAAAGAGAGAGAGAGGGAAGGAGGUGCAGGACAAAGAGUGAGGGAAGGUGGUGCAGGACAAAGAGAGAGGGAAGGUGGUGCAGGACAAAGAGUGAGGGAAGGAGGUGCAGGACAAAGAGAGAGAGAGGGAAGGUGGUGCAGGACAAAGAGAGAGGGGAGGUGGUGCAGGACAAAGAGUGAGGGAAGGUGGUGCAGGACAAAGAGUGAGGGAAGGUGGUGCAGGACAAAGAGAGAGGGAAGGAGGUGCAGGACAAAGAGAGAGGGAAGGAGGUGCAGGACAAAGAGUGAGGGAAGGUGGUGCAGGACAAAGAGUGAGGGAAGGUGGUGCAGGACAAAGAGAGAGGGAAGGCGGUGCAGGACAAAGAGAGAGGGAAGGUGGUGCAGGACAAAGAGAGAUGGAAGAUGGUGCAGGACAAAGAGAGAUGGAAGAUGGUGCAGGACAAAGAGAGAGGGAAGGCGGUGCAGGACAAAGAGAGAGGGAAGGCGGUGCAGGACAAAGAGAGAGGGAAGGCGGUGCAGGACAAAGAGAGAGGGAAGAUGGUGCAGGACCAAGAGUGAGGGAAGAUGGUGCAGGUGUGCUAUAGAAAGUAUACCGUUCACAAGUCGAAGCAGCUACAGUCGAAUAAUCUUAACGUUUCGAUCCCCCUCAAAUG
ensembl:lncRNA